CUCGUGUCGUGAGAUGUUGGGUUAAGUCCCGCAACGAGCGCAACCCCUAUCUUCAGUAGCCAGCAUUACGGAUGGGCACUCUGGAGAGACUGCCAGGGACAACCUGGAGGAAGGUGGGGAUGACGUCAAAUCAUCAUGCCCCUUAUGGCCAGGGCUACACACGUGCUACAAUGGCGUGAACAAAGGGAAGCAGCCAUGUGAAUGUGAGCAAAUCCCAAAAAUAACGUCUCAGUUCGGAUUGUAGUCUGCAACUCGACUACAUGAAGCUGGAAUCGCUAGUAAUCGCGAAUCAGAAUGUCGCGGUGAAUACGUUCCCGGGUCUUGUACACACCGCCCGUCACACCAUGGGAGUCAGUAACGCCCGAAGCCGGUGACCUAACCGAAAGGGAGGAGCCGUCGAAGGUGGGACCGAUAACUGGGGUGAAGUCGUAACAAGGUAGCCGUAUCGGAAGGUGCGGUUGGAUCACCUC
rnacentral:rRNA from 1 species